GUCAGUAUAUGCCACUUCCUUACAAAUACACUACAUGACCAAAAUUAUGGGCAUUAAUAUGGAGUUGGUCCCCCCUUUGUUAUUAUAACAGCCUUCACUCUUCUGGGUAGGCUUUCCACUAGAUGUUGGAAUAUUGCUCCAGGGACUUGCUUCCAUUUAGCCAUAAGAGCAUUAAUGCAGUCGGGCACUGAUGUUGAAUGAUUAGGCCUGGCUCGCAGACAGCAUUCCAAUUCAUUCCAAAGGUUUUCGAUGGGGUUGAGGUCAGGGCUCUGUGCAGGCCAGUCAAGUUCUGCCACACCGAUCUCAGCAUUUCUGUAUGAACCUUGCUUUAUGCACAGGGGCAUUGUCAUGUUGAAACAGGAAAGGGCCUUCCCCAAACUGUUGCCACAAAGUUGGAAGCAAAGAAUCGUCUAGAAUGUCAUUGUAUGCUGUAGCGUUAAAAUUACCAUUCACUGGAACUAAGAGGCCUAGCACGAACCAUGAAAAACGGCCCCAAACCAUUAUUUUCCUCCACCAAACUUUACAGUUGGCUCUAUGCAUUGGGUCAGGUAGCGUUCUUCUGGCAUCUGCCAAGCCCAGAUUCAUCCAUCGGACUGCGAGAUGGUGAAGCAUGAUCAUUCCAGAGAGCGCGUUUCCCAUGCUCCAGUCUAAUGGCUGCAAGCUCUACACCACUCCAGCCAACGCUUGGCAUUGCACAUGGUGAUCUUAGGCUUGUGUGUGGCUGCUCAGCCAUCGAUACCUAUUUCAUGAAGCUCCUAACGAAAAGACAUUGCUUCUAGUAUCAGGAAUCAAGGUAAGAUGCAGACACGUCGAAUUGACAAUGGUUUAAUAUUCCAACAGGGGCAGGCAAUAGUCAGGUCAAGGCAGGGGUCAGUAAACCAGAGGUGGGGCAACAGUACCGGACGGCAGGCAGGGUCAGGGUAGGCAGAGGUCAACAAUCCAGAGGUGGGGCAAAGGUACAGGUCAGCAGGCAGGCUCAGCGUCAGGGACAGGCAGAGUGGUCAGGCAGGCGGGCUCAGAGUCAGGACAGGCAAGGGUCAAAACCAGGAGGGUGAGAAAAAGGAGAGACUGGAAAAAACAGGAGCUGAGAAAAAACGCUGGUUGACUUGACAAACAAGACGAACUGGCAACGGACAAACAGAGAACACAGGAGACAAAGGGCUGUGAGACAUACGUAGGUUUGACUCUGGACACAUGAAAGGUGGGAUGUAUACGAAGAGUACUUGGCAACAGAAGACUAACAGCAGAGGGGCUAAUAAUCUUGGAAAUGGGAAAUGGACCGAUAAACCGGGGAGAGAGUUUGCCGGAGGGACAGAUCCCGGGUGGAUAACCAUACCUCCUGCCCGAGACGAUACCGGGGAGCUGGGGUCCGAUGGCGAUCCGCCUGUCGUUGAUACCUGGAGGUGGUCUUGAGGAGGGCCGACCAGGAUUUCCUCCAGGUACGACGACAGCGACGGACAAACAUCUGGGCAGAAGGUACACGGCCCUCUUCCUCCUGCUCGGGGAAGAGCGGGGGCUGAUAUCCCAGGGAACACUCAAUCGGAGAUAGGCCUGUGGCAGAGCAGGGAAGGCUGUUGUGGGCGUACUCAACCCACACCAGCUGCUGCCUCCAGGAGAUGGGAUUGGCGGAGACCAGGCAGCGCAGAGUAGUCUCAAGAUCCUGCUUGGCUCGCUCUGACUGGCCAUUGUACUGGGGAUGGAACCCAGAAGACAGGCUGGCCAACAACCCAAUGAGGGCACAGAACACCUUCCAGAACCGGGACAAGAACUGAGGCCCCCAGUCGGAGACCAUGUCUGCGGGCAGUCCAUGGAUCCGGAAGAGGUGCUGCACCAGGAACUGGGCCAUCUCCUUGGCCGAGGGUAGUUUAGGGAGAGUUAUGUAGUGAGCGGCCUUGGAAAACCGGUCAACCACAGUCAGGAUGGCGUUGUUGCCCUCAGACGGGGGAAGACCCAUGACAAAAUCCAGGGAAAUGUGGGACCAGGAUCGGUGAGGGGCAGGCAGUGGUUGCAGAAGACCAGCCGGCGCUUGCCGAGGAGUCUUAUGUUGGGCACAGACUGUGCAGGCGUAUACAAACGCGGCAACAUCCGGAACCACCAGGGUUCGGCUGGGACCACUGCGCCUCCCGGACCUGGUUCCCUAUACCCCAGUUGAAACCCAGAAAAGAUAUGGUGGAACGUUUGAACUCGCACUUCUCUGCUUUUACAAACAGCUGGUUCUCCAGGAGGCGUUGGAGAACCUGUCAGACGUGGAGCACAUAUUCUUGGGUGGAAUGGGAGAUGAUGAGGACAAAGACAGACCGGUUCAACAUGUCCCGGAGAACGUCAUUGACCAGACACUGGAACACAGCAGGGGCAUUGGUAAGGCCAAAUGGCAUGAACCGAUACUCGUAAUGACCACAGGCCGUGUUGAAGGUGACUCUUCCAUUUGCAAGGUGGGAUCCCUGGGCGUGCGAGCAACAUCCAAUAACCUCUCCCUCCGUUGUUCCCGUAAUCGCCCAUCGAUACGGAUGGUCAAGCUCUGUAGGUAACUACCGGGCUGCAAGCUUGUCCUUGACCUCCUCAGAGACGCCGUGCAGGAACAUAUCGAACAUUGCCUCUUGAUUCCAAGCACUCUCCGCUUGUUCCCACACAGCAGUAGCCCAGGUGAGAGCCCUCCCGGUCAUCAGCGUGAUGAGGUAGGCUAUCUUGGAGCGAUCCGAGGGGAAGGAGGAGGGCUGAAGCUUGAAGACGAGGAUACAUUGAGCUAGGAACGCCCGACAGGUGCUCGGCUCUCCACUGAAGCAUUCCGGAGGAGGUAAGUAGGGCUCUCAAGAAGGUGGAGUGAUCAAUGAGACGGCGCUGCUUGUACUUCGCGGCUGAGCCGUUGUUGCUCCUAGACAUUUCCACUUCACAAUAAAAGCAUUCACAGUUGACCAGGGCAGCUGUAGCAGGGCAGAAAUGUGAAGAACUGACUUGUUGGAAAACAUGACUGUACCAUGUUGAAAGUCACUGAGCGCUUCAGUAAGGCCAUUCUACUGCCAAUAUUUGUCUAUGGAGAUUGCAUGGCUGUGUGCUCGAUUGUAUACACCUGUCAGCAACGGGUGUUGCUAUAAUAGCCCGAAUCCACUCAUUUGAAGGUGUGUCCACAUACUUUUGUAUUUAUAGUGCAGCUGAAUACCUGUGCAAACCAUUGCAAAACAUUCUGCAACUAAACCAAGUGUUUCUUAUUGGACAAGUCCAGGUUAGUCCCUCUCAGUUUUCGCCCGUCUGCAUCCGUUUGGUUUCUAGUGAAUACAUCCCUCAGUCAUGAAAUGUGGUUGUCCAGUCUGAAAUGUGGUUGUCCAGUCAUGAAAUGUGGUUGUCCAGUCUGAAAUGUGGUUGUCCAGUCUGAAUUGUGGUUGUCCAGUCUGAAAUGUGGUUGUCCAGUCUGAAAUGUGGUUGUCCAUUCGGAAUUGUGGUUGUCCAGUCUGAAAUGUGGUUGUCCAUUCGGAAUUGUGGUUGUCCAGUCUGAAAUGUGGUUGUCCAGUCUGACAUGUGGUUGUCCAUCAUGAAAUGUGGUUGUCCAGUCUGAAUGUGGUUGUCCAGUCUGAAAUGUUGUUGUCCAGUCAUGAAAUGUGGUUGUCCAGUCUGAAAUGUGUUUGUCCAGUCUGAAAUGUGGUUGUCCAGUCUGAAAUGUGGUUGUCCAGUCUGAAUUGUGUCUCAUAACUCCUCUUUAUCUCUCUAUUUUACAGAUGAGUCUUGCCAUCGGUAGACAUCAGUCGGCUCGCCAAAUUGCUCAAGUCAUGUGGUUAAGAUUAGAUUUUAUCUUGCAAUAUGACUUUUGUUUUCCUGUAUUUUGUUUCUUUGAAACUAUUCAUUUAAUGUUUGUAAUCUUUUUGAUGUACAAUAUUUUAUUUUACAUAGGAUCAGGGACUAUUGGUUUUGAAUAAAAGAAAACAACAGUUUUAUGUAGUUUGUGAGAUGAAUGUGUAACGAUGUGCGCUGAGAGUCGGGAAGCAAAUUCAGGGAGUGAGUGUUUUAAUAAUUAAACGCAACAUAAUACAAACCACAAACAACGCAUAGACAGGGAACUGAAACAGAAACAAUGACACCUGGAAAAGGAACCAAAGGGAGUGACAUAUAUAGGGAAGGUAAUCAGGGAAGUGAUGGAGUCCAGGUGUGUCUGAUGAUGCGCAGGUGCGCAGCCUGGUGACCAAGAGGCUGGAGAGGUAGCACACGUGACAGAAUGGUGGAUGGAGCCUCAACUCUUCUAUUUCAGUGUAAAAGUGUAAAGACAAUAUGAAAACAUGGUACAUAUUGUAGCCUCUAAGUUUUACUAUAUACACUUGUUGUAUUUUUACUAUCAGGUGUGUACUUUUGGGUGAUGAUCACGUCUAUGCAAGUUAGUGGAUUACAAAUGUAUGGUAAAAAGGGUCCGGUCAGUUUAGUUUUAGUUAGCUUAGAUCAACAACACAACGUCUCUACUGUAUAUAAACUCUGCAUCAGCACUGUAACGAUUCCUGGUGCAUUCCAAAUGACACCCUAUUCCCGACAGGGCUCUGGACAAAAGUAGUGCACUAUAAAGGGAUUAGAAUGUCAUUUUGGACACCUCAAUGAUGCUUACCGUAUAUCAUCUGGUCCCUGUGCCUGCUGGAUUUGCUCAUACCGAUGACAUAAAGAACAGGUCAUCUACAAGUCCAAGAUGAAUUUUGAGCCUUGUGAACACACCUCAUGUGUAGUUUCUGGUAAACCAUGGCUAUAUGUAACGUCAUGACAAUUCUCUUUUGUUCAAUUACUAUUUCUGUUUGAACCACAACAUGGAUAUCAGCUAGCCUUUAAUGCACAUGAUUUAAAACACCGAUGAUACAUUAUGGAAUAAUCACCAAUACACAUUAUUAUAAUCUUUUUUUUUUUAGGUUUCACUGUUUGCCCUUUAGUGGAAUUAAUGUGGUAGAAUGAAAAAGAGUAGUAUAUCUACUGUAUCUAUGCUAAUUUGACUGCAUAGUUUUGAAUAGAAAAGGUAUUAUGUUUGUGGUGUUAUCAUGUGAGACUAGAGCACAUGGGGGAUGUGGGUGAAAACAUGAUUUAAGGGAUGUUUACAACAUUUAAUCCAUAGAAUGGUCCUUUGUAUCUAAAAGCAUAAUUGAGAAAUAAUUCAUCAAAGUUGUCAUAUUUAUGAAAUGUUGAUCUUACACAGGUCUCUUUUAAGACUCCAUUAUGUUUAUCUGUAGGUGCUACAAAGCAAACAUUGGUGGCAUAUGAAGCUUUACCGCUUGCUCUGUAAUAUGAGUAGUAUUUUGUUUUCAAUAACAAUUUUCUUGCAUUAAUUUAUGAAAACUGAAGAAUAAGUACAUUUUUGAUUUAGCAAUUUUUUCUAUAUAUUGUUGAACGUAAUAUACUCUAUGGACAUAUCAAAGUUCUCUGUUACUUUUAGUUAAUAUCCCAUUUGUAAGCAUUA
ensembl:lncRNA